rnacentral:rRNA from 1 species
AGUGAACGCUGGCGGUAGGCCUAACACAUGCAAGUCGAACGGCAGCACAGUAAGAGCUUGCUCUUACGGGUGGCGAGUGGCGGACGGGUGAGGAAUACAUCGGAAUCUACUUUUUCGUGGGGGAUAACGUAGGGAAACUUACGCUAAUACCGCAUACGACCUACGGGUGAAAGCAGGGGAUCUUCGGACCUUGCGCGAUUGAAUGAGCCGAUGUCGGAUUAGCUAGUUGGCGGGGUAAGGGCCCACCAAGGCGACGAUCCGUAGCUGGUCUGAGAGGAUGAUCGGCCACACUGGAACUGAGACACGGUCCAGACUCCUACGGGAGGCAGCAGUGGGGAAUAUUGGACAAUGGGCGCAGACCUGAUCCAGCCAUACCGCGUGGGUGAAGAAGGCCUUCGGGUUGUAAAGCCCUUUUGUUGGGAAAGAAAAGCAGCAGGUUAAUACCCCGCUGUUCUGACGGUACCCAAAGAAUAAGCACCGGCUAACUUCGUG